rnacentral:rRNA from 1 species
UACGAAGGGGGCUAGCGUUGCUCGGAAUCACUGGGCGUAAAGGGUGCGUAGGCGGGUCUUUAAGUCAGGGGUGAAAUCCUGGAGCUCAACUCCAGAACUGCCUUUGAUACUGAAGAUCUUGAGUUCGAGAGAGGUGAGUGGAACUGCGAGUGUAGAGGUGAAAUUCGUAGAUAUUCGCAAGAACACCAGUGGCGAAGGCGGCUCACUGGCCCGAUACUGACGCUGAGGCACGAAAGCGUGGGGAGCAAACAGG